UACAGAGGUCCCAAGCGUUGUUCGGAUUCACUGGGCGUAAAGGGUGCGUAGGCGGUCGGGUAAGUCUGAUGUGAAAUCUCCAAGCUUAACUUGGAAAUGGCAUCGGAUACUAUUCGGCUCGAGGAAUGGAGGGGAGACUGGAAUACUUGGUGUAGCAGUGAAAUGCGUAGAUAUCAAGUGGAACACCAGUGGCGAAGGCGAGUCUCUGGACGACUCCUGACACUGAGGCACGAAAGCUGGGGGAGCAAACAGG
rnacentral:rRNA from 1 species